UGAAUACGAGAUGCUACGGCGUCGAAGCAGUCUAUGUCAUACUUCCAAGAAAAGCUCGCGCUGUCAUAAACAAAUAAUGCCUGUACCAUAACCGACACAGGUGGGUAGGUAGAGUAUACUAAGGGGCGCGAGAUAACUCUCUCUAAGGAACUCGGCAAAAUGACUCCGUAACUUCGGGAGAAGGAGUGCCUUAUUUAUAAGGUUGCAAUAACAAGAUCCAAGCAACUGUUUAUCAAAAACACAGGUCUCCGCUAAGUCGUAAGACGAUGUAUGGGGGCUGACGCCUGCCCAGUGCCAGAAGGUUAAAGAAGUUGGUUAGCAUUCGCGAAGCUGAUAACUGAAGCCCUGGUGAACGGCGGCCGUAACGAUAACGGUCCUAAGGUAGCGAAAUUCCUUGUCGGGUAAGUUCCGACCCGCACGAAAGGCGUAAUGAUUUGGAUACUGUCUCGGAGAGGGGCUCGGUGAAAUAGACUUGUCUGUGAAGAUGCGGACUACCUGCACCAGGACAGAAAGACCCUAUGAAGCUUUACUGUAACUUGAGAUUGAAAUUGGACUUUACUUGCGCAGUAUAGGUGGGAGGCGUUGAUAAUAUUCUUGCGGGAUUAUUUGAGCCAUCAGUGAGAUACCACUCUUGUAAUGUUAGAUUUCUAACUUUGUAUCAUUAUCUGGUCAAAGGACAGUUUCAGGCGGGCAGUUUGACUGGGGCGGUCGCCUCCUAAACGGUAACGGAGGCGCACAAAGGUUUCCUCUGAACGGGUAGAAAUCGUAUCUAGAGUGUAAAGGCAUAAGGAAGCUUGACUGUGAGACCUACAAGUCGAGCAGGGACGAAAGUCGGUCUUAGUGAUCUGACGGUGCUGAGUGGAAAGGCCGUCACUCAACGGAUAAAAGUUACUCUAGGAUAACAGGCUGAUCUCCCCCAAGAGUUCACAUCGACGGGGAGGUUUGGCACCUCGAUGUCGGCUCAUCGCAUCCUGGGGCGGUAGUACGUCCCAAGGGUUGGGCUGUUCGCCCAUGAAAGCGGUACGCGAGCUGGGUUCAGAACGUCGUGAGACAGUUCGGUCCAUAUCCGGUGUAGGCGUUAGAAUAUUGAGAGGAGCCUUCUUUAGUACGAGAGGACCGAGAAGGACAUACCUCUGGUGUACCAGUUAUCGUGCCAACGGUAAACGCUGGGUAGCUAUGUAUGGAGUGGAUAACCGCUGAAAGCAUCUAAGUGGGAAGCCCACCUCAAGAUAAG
rnacentral:rRNA from 1 species